rnacentral:lncRNA from 1 species
GACAGAGUGUACUUUAGGGAUAUGUGGUUGGGUUGGGUGAUGCUGACAGAGUGUACCUUGAGGGAUAUGUGGUUGGGUGAUGCUGACAGAGUGUACCUUGAGGGAUGUGUG